GCGGACGUGGUGAAAUUGGUAGACACGCUAGAUUUAGGAUCUAGUGAGAUUAUCUCAUGAGAGUUCGAGUCUCUCCGUCCGCA
rnacentral:tRNA from 1 species